rnacentral:rRNA from 1 species
AGGCGGCUACGGCGGGGAGGGUACACCUGUUCCCAUCCCGAACACAGCAGUUAAGCUCCCCUGCGCCGAAGAUACUUGGCGGGCGACCGCCCGGGAAAAUAGGACGCCGCCGACC